AGAGUUUGAUCCUGGCUCAGGAUGAACGCUGGCGGCAUGCCUAAUACAUGCAAGUCGAACGAAGUUUCGAGGAAGCUUGCUUCCAAAGAGACUUAGUGGCGAACGGGUGAGUAACACGUAGGUAACCUGCCCAUGUGUCCGGGAUAACUGCUGGAAACGGUAGCUAAAACCGGAUAGGUAUACAGAGCGCAUGCUCAGUAUAUUAAAGCGCCCAUCAAGGCGUGAACAUGGAUGGACCUGCGGCGCAUUAGCUAGUUGGUGAGGUAACGGCCCACCAAGGCGAUGAUGCGUAGCCGGCCUGAGAGGGUAAACGGCCACAUUGGGACUGAGACACGGCCCAAACUCCUACGGGAGGCAGCAGUAGGGAAUUUUCGUCAAUGGGGGAAACCCUGAACGAGCAAUGCCGCGUGAGUGAAGAAGGUCUUCGGAUCGUAAAGCUCUGUUGUAAGUGAAGAACGGCUCAUAGAGGAAAUGCUAUGGGAGUGACGGUAGCUUACCAGAAAGCCACGGCUAACUACGUGCCAGCAGCCGCGGUAAUACGUAGGUGGCAAGCGUUAUCCGGAAUCAUUGGGCGUAAAGGGUGCGUAGGUGGCGUACUAAGUCUGUAGUAAAAGGCAAUGGCUCAACCAUUGUAAGCUAUGGAAACUGGUAUGCUGGAGUGCAGAAGAGGGCGAUGGAAUUCCAUGUGUAGCGGUAAAAUGCGUAGAUAUAUGGAGGAACACCAGUGGCGAAGGCGGUCGCCUGGUCUGUAACUGACACUGAGGCACGAAAGCGUGGGGAGCAAAUAGGAUUAGAUACCCUAGUAGUCCACGCCGUAAACGAUGAGAACUAAGUGUUGGAGGAAUUCAGUGCUGCAGUUAACGCAAUAAGUUCUCCGCCUGGGGAGUAUGCACGCAAGUGUGAAACUCAAAGGAAUUGACGGGGGCCCGCACAAGCGGUGGAGUAUGUGGUUUAAUUCGAAGCAACGCGAAGAACCUUACCAGGCCUUGACAU
rnacentral:rRNA from 1 species